GUAAUCAUUGCGCAGUGUGUUUCGGCUUCUUGAUUAACAGUUGCAUUGGGCCUCUGAUGUAUGGGAAAAAAAGCUAACCCCAGCUUGAACACUAGAGAAAACUGCUGCAAUUAUGUAAGCUUUACCCUAAUUGCUUGGUUGAAUGAGAGCUGGAAGCGAGGGUGACAGAGUGGUGCUGCUAACUUGGCAAUUUGCAAGGGUCACUGUGGUUAAUUGGUGUCUGCAGAGCAGAACCAUUUUUCUAUGGUGAUCAAUUUAAGAUAUUGUCAUUUGUUGAAAUGAACCAAUGCCCUUGACUUCUUGGAAGAGGUGGAGGGAAUUGAUCACGGAACACACGCUAUUUGGAACAUAAAACUGAGUAAAACUGAUAUAAGACUGAUUUACACUUGACAAAUCUCCAGCCAAAAAUUUCUUUAUUGGCAGUUACUACCGAACUGAAUGAGUAAUCAACUAAGGGUCAGAAUACAAACUAGCGUCUCCGCCUCUCAGAACAAGCAUCACUUCCACGUGGAUGGCCUCCUCAGCCUCCCACUUCCAGUGCUUACUGGAGUCUAUUCCAAAUAGAUCUCCAUCUAUUGCAAAGCUCCCAUUAAAAAUUCUGGCUAUGGGGGCUGGCCCCGUGGCCGAGUGGUUAAGUUCGCGCGCUCCGCUGCAGGCGGCCCAGUGUUUCGUCGGUUUGAAUACUGGCCGCGGACAUGGCACUGCUCAUCAAGCCACACUGAGGCGGCGUCCCACAUGCCACCACUAGAAGGACCCACAACUAAGAAUGUACAACUAUAUACCGGGGGGCUUUGGGGA
rnacentral:lncRNA from 1 species